AUUGAACGCUGGCGGCAGGCCUAACACAUGCAAGUCGAACGGUAACAGAAAGCAGCUUGCUGCUUUGCUGACGAGUGGCGGACGGGUGAGUAAUGUCUGGGAAACUGCCUGAUGGAGGGGGAUAACUACUGGAAACGGUAGCUAAUACCGCAUAACGUCGCAAGACCAAAGAGGGGGACCUUCGGGCCUCUUGCCAUCGGAUGUGCCCAGAUGGGAUUAGCUAGUAGGUGGGGUAACGGCUCACCUAGGCGACGAUCCCUAGCUGGUCUGAGAGGAUGACCAGCCACACUGGAACUGAGACACGGUCCAGACUCCUACGGGAGGCAGCAGUGGGGAAUAUUGCACAAUGGGCGCAAGCCUGAUGCAGCCAUGCCGCGUGUAUGAAGAAGGCCUUCGGGUUGUAAAGUACUUUCAGCGGGGAGGAAGGGAGUAAAGUUAAUACCUUUGCUCAUGGACGUUACCCGCAGAAGAAGCACCGGCGAACUCCGU
rnacentral:rRNA from 1 species